AACGAACGCUGGCGGCGUGGAUAAGACAUGCAAGUCGAGCGAUUACUAGUUGGUAGCAAUAUCGGCUAGUGAGAGCGGCGCAAGGGUGCGUAACACGUGGGCAAUCUGCCGUGAAGUUUGGGAUAAUUCCGCGAAAGCGGAACUAAUACCGGAUGUGACAGUUGGGGGGCAUCUCCUGGUUGUCAAAGUUGGGGACCCGCAAGGGCCUGACGCUUUACGAUGAGCCCGCGGCCUAUCAGGUAGUUGGCGGGGUAACGGCCCACCAAGCCUAAGACGGGUAGCUGGUCUGAGAGGACGACCAGCCACACUGGAACUGAGACACGGUCCAGACACCUACGGGUGGCAGCAGUCGAGAAUUUUUCACAAUGGGGGAAACCCUGAUGGAGCGACGCCGCGUGGGGGAUGAAUGGCUUCGGCCCGUAAACCCCUGUCAUUUGCGAUCAAACCUCAAUAUUUAAAAGAUGUUGGGCUGAUAGUAGCGAAAGAGGAAGGGACGGCUAACUCUGUGC
rnacentral:rRNA from 1 species